rnacentral:rRNA from 1 species
UACGUAGGGUGCAAGCGUUGUCCGGAAUUAUUGGGCGUAAAGAGCUCGUAGGCGGUUUGUCGCGUCGGCUGUGAAAACUCGGGGCUCAACCCCGAGCCUGCAGUCGAUACGGGCAAACUCGAGUGCGGUAGGGGAGACUGGAAUUCCUGGUGUAGCGGUGAAAUGCGCAGAUAUCAGGAGGAACACCGGCGGCGAAGGCGGGUCUCUGGGCCGUAACUGACGCUGAGGAGCGAAAGCGUGGGGAACGAACAGG